GCUGUUAUAGUAAAAAGAUUACAUUACAUUUUCAUUGUAAAGUUAAAACUAAUGUUUUUAGCGGUG
rnacentral:tRNA from 1 species